rnacentral:tRNA from 11 species
GGCAAGCAUGGGCGGUGGGGCGAACAGUUUUCAGACCCGCUGCUCCG